rnacentral:tmRNA from 1 species
GGGGUCGUUAGGUUUCGAUUCGCAAUGAGGUUGAAUGUGUGGCAUGCAGUGGUUGAUCGAACGGCCACUUUAAAAAUCGAUCAAGCCUUAACCGGCAAUACUUACGCUCAGGCUGCUUAAUCAGCCAAGGGUUUUGGGAAGCUAAGUUAGCUGCGUCCUUAAAUCCUAACGAAAUGCUAACUGGCUUUAACCCUUGCAGAUACAGGUUGAAGUGAGAUAAAAUGAUUCUGCUGGCUCUAAAUAACUUUUGCUAUUUGCAGUUUUUAGAGUAAGAUUUAGCAAAAAGAUAAGCAUGUAGAGGCCGCUCGACUAGUUGUAGAAGAUGGGGGUUCGAUUCCCCCCGACUCCACUU